rnacentral:rRNA from 1 species
GAUGAACGCUGGCGGCGUGCCUAAUACAUGCAAGUCGAGCGAACAGACGAGGAGCUUGCUCCUCUGACGUUAGCGGCGGACGUGUGAGUAACACGUGGAUAACCUACCUAUAAGACUGGGAUAACUUCGGGAAACCGGAGCUAAUACCGGAUAAUAUAUUGAACCGCAUGGUUCAAUAGUGAAAGACGGUUUUGCUGUCUCUUAUAGAUGGAUCCGCGCCGCAUUAGCUAGUUGGUAAGGUAACGGCUUACCAAGGCAACGAUGCGUAGCCGACCUGAGAGGGUGAUCGGACACACUGGAAGUGAGAAACGGUCCAGACUCCUACGGGAGGAAGCAGUAGGGAAGAUUCCGCAAUGGGCGAAAGCAUGACGGAGCAAAGCCGAGUGAGUGAUGAAGGUCUUAGGAUCGUAAAACUCUGUUAUUAGGGAAGAACAAAUGUGUAAGUAACUAUGCACGUCUUGACGGUACCUAAUCAGAAAGCAACGGCUAACUACGUG